UGCCUCAUGGUGUAAUGGUAGCACAAGCGACUCUGAAUCGCUUUGUCAAGGUUCGAGUCCUUGUGAGGCAGCCA
rnacentral:tRNA from 1 species